rnacentral:lncRNA from 1 species
UAUUGGCUAGCUAGUUCAACCCUAAUCGCAGCCCAAAUCAGGUAAAACUAAAACCUAGUACUUAAGAAUAUCGUACCUUCUCCACCUCCUGCGCACUCAUUCUUCUCUCAUUCCAGCCAUAUUUUCCUCUACUCGUCAUCUGCAAGGUUGGUAUCUUUUUUCAUAUAUUGUGUAAAAUAUAUUUUCUCUCUACUGUUCAAUGGAGAUAGAGUGAAAUUUUUUUGUCAAACACAAACAAAAAUUCUAUGUCAACAUCCAAACUCACUUGAGUAUUCAACUCUUUCAAAAUCGGAUGAUUUUGUUAUUGUUAUUUCAUGUUAAAUAUAUUUCAAUUUCUCUUGAUUUCUUUUUCAAUUUUUGGUGGGCAUGUGUUAUGCGCAACUCUCUAUAUUAAAUCUUUCUUAAUUAUGGGUUUUUUUAUGAAUUAAUUUGUCGUAAUUUUGCAAUUGUGUAGUGUUUAAUCUCUUAUAUAUUUUUUUUGAUAUCUCUUGAGCGGUGCUUUAAAUUGAUCAUGCUUUCUCCAUUUGCUGCGAGUUUUUCUCUUCGUUGAAUCAAAACCCAAGAGUAAUGCUUAUUUUAAUUUAUAUGAUUUUAUGUGAAGUAAUUGUUUUCUGCACGCAAGCAUCCUUAAUCCACUCUUAAACUUAAGGGCCACCUCUUUUAUUUACAAAAAUGUACAAAAUAAACACUUUAAUUUCAACUGAGAGAUCAAGCUAACAAUUAAUCAAGUUAGAUGCUAUUAUAAUUUUUUUUUUUUUUUUUUUUGUGCAAAUCAACUUAGGUGCUCAACCUCAAUUGAAUCAAUUACUAACCUAAGUCAAGAAAUCCGGCUAAUUAUAUUAAUUACUAUUAUUUAGCCUAACUUUGACAUUUACUAGCUAAAAAUAAUUCGCACGUGCAGUUUCCUUAUCUUAAAGAAUCAUAAAUAACGAAUAUAGAGUUACUGUAAUCUGUGGAUAAAUAUGGAUUGAUUAAGUUGGAGAAUUGAAUGAUGGAUGGAAAACUUGUUGAUACCCAUACUGAAGAAAAAUUGUAAGUACUCUUAUUUUGGUUUUGGUUUUAGAUGAAUUUUUUUUAGCUUUCAUUGUAUUUAAUUCGUGAAAUUUAAAUUAUGAAAUCAUGCGUCUUUAUGGAUUUAACGUUUACUUUAAUGUCAUGACUCCUGGGUUUUAAAAAGCCCGAGGCGCACGAGGCGCAAACAUGCCUCGGAGCCUAGGCGCAGGGUUUUAAGCGCAAGCGCGAGCUUUUCGUAGGCGAGGCGCAGUAAAGCCUAAAAAAUUCUAAUAUAUUUACCUACAUUAUAUUUUAUACCAAAAACACAACUUAAAACCACAAAUAGUACUUAAACACACAUAUACUUAAUCCAAAACACACAAAUACUUAAGUUUUAAAAUACGCAAGUCUAAAAGUACGAUCAAAUAUCAAACAAGUAAUCAAAAAUCAUCAUCCUCAAGUCCAUCAUCCUCAAAUGCGUCAUCCCCAUCAUCUUUGAGAGUAAAACUGAAAUUAAAAAAUAAAAUUUAUUCAAUUAUAAAUUUAUAACAUCAAUCAAAACUGAAAUUAUAAAAAACAACUUCAAAAACUGACCUACAAUAUUGAAUAUGAAAGUUGAAACUCAAAAACUUCAAAAACUGAACUACAAUAUUGAAUUUGAAAGUUGAAACUCAAAAACAACUUCAAAAACUCACCUGGAGGCUGGCGGCGGCGGCGGCGGCGGCGGACGGCUGGGGCUGGCGGCGGCGGCGGCGGCGCCGGCUGGCUGGCAGCGCCGGUAGGUGAGCAAAGAGGGGGAAGACACAGAGGAGAGAAGAGAGGAGAAAGGAGGCUGCUGCUGCGUUUUUUUUAAUUUUAAACAAAAGUGUAACUUUAUAACCCUAACCCUAAUUCUACGUAAGGCGCGCGCCUUAGUGAAAGUGCGCCUAGGCGCGCCUUUAGCGCUUUUGUGCGCCUCUGCUGCGCCUCUUGUAGGCUGCAGCGCCUGCCCUUAAAAAGCCCACCCCCCCUGCGCCUCGCUCAAGGCGCGCGCCUGGGCGCGCCCAGGCGCGCUUUUUCAAACCCAGCAUGACUCAUGAGUUUAUGUGGGUUUAUUUCAUAGACAAUAUAGGCUUUGUAAUAAGGUUCUUUUCUUGCUGUAAAAAUAGUGAAUUAUGAUUGUGAUAUAUUGCUAAUAUCUAAUGGUAUGCAUUAGUAUAUGAUUUUAAUUUUUUUCUUUUUUAUGGCUUGUUUGAAAGAGUUGAAGGAAAAGUUGCCCGAGGAAUUGAUGGAUGAUACUGUUGCUAAUGAUGCAAUUUUUGAAAAAGUUAUUUUGAGAACACCAAUGAAGUCAAUGGAAGUUUUGAGGUAAAUUAUUAAUUUAUUUUUAGUAUGUCAAAGUGUAAUUUUUUUUUAAACUUAGUUAUAUUUUUUUAAAUCAAUUUUAUUAGAUGAUGGACCAACAAGAGGAAGGAAAAAAAUACAAGAAGGACCAGCAAGAGGAAGUCAAAAUGUUCGUGAUUGUCACAUUGUCACCAUGGAAUUUUCAUUCUUGCAUAGGAACAUAGCUUUAGACAUUUUUGUUUUUAAUCCAUAUUCUUGAAUAAUUUGCUAGUAUGGUGAAUUAUGUUUUGAUAUUCUCUCUUUUCAUAUUUAGAAAUUAAUAGUUAUUAUGAG